GGUCCCGCCUGCCCUGUGACUAUAUGUUUAACGGCCGCGGUAUUUUGACCGUGCGAAGGUAGCGCAAUCACUUGUCUCUUAAAUGGGGACCUGUAUGAAUGGCAUAACGAGGGCUUGACUGUCUCCUCUUUCAGGUCAAUGAAAUUGAUCUCCCCGUGCAGAAGCGGGGAUAGACACAUAAGACGAGAAGACCCUAUGGAGCUUUAGACACUAAAGCAGAUCAGCAUUAAUACCCCAAAUACGGGACACGAAUAAACUGAACCCUGCCCUAAUGUCUUAGGUUGGGGCGACCGCGGAGAAAUAAAAAACCCCCGCAAGGACUGAAUGUACUACAUUCACAACCAAGAGCGACAGCUCUAAUUAACAGAUAUUUCUGACCAAUAAGAUCCGGCAACGCCGAUCAAUGGACCAAGUUACCCUAGGGAUAACAGCGCAAUCUCCUCUUAGAGCCCGUAUCAACGAGGAGGUUUACGACCUCGAUGUUGGAUCAGGACAUCCUAAUGGUGCAGCCGCUAUUAAGGGUUCGUUUUGUUCAACGAUUAAAGUCCUACG
rnacentral:rRNA from 1 species